AUCCCUAGCAUAACUUGGAUUAAUGCACCGGAUCCCAUCAGAACUCCGCAGUUAAACGUGCUUGGGCGAGAGUUCGUUGUACUAGGAUGGGUGACCUACGGGGAAGUCCUCGUGUUGCAUCCC
rnacentral:rRNA from 1 species